rnacentral:rRNA from 1 species
UACGGGGGGGGCAAGCGUUGUUCGGAAUUACUGGGCGUAAAGGGCGCGUAGGCGGCCUGCUAAGUCGGACGUGAAAUCCCUCGGCUCAACCGAGGAACUGCGUCCGAUACUGGUGGGCUUGAAUCCGGGAGAGGGAUGUGGAAUUCCAGGUGUAGCGGUGAAAUGCGUAGAUAUCUGGAGGAACACCCAUAGCGAAGGCAGCUUGCUGGGACGUUACUGACGCUAAGGCGCGAAAGCGUGGGGAGCGAACAGG